rnacentral:rRNA from 1 species
GACGAACGCUGGCGGCGUGCUUAACACAUGCAAGUCGAACGGAAAGGCCCUGCUUUUGUGGGGUGCUCGAGUGGCGAACGGGUGAGUAACACGUGAGUAACCUGCCCUUUACUUUGGGAUAACUUCAGGAAACUGGGGCUAAUACCGGAUAGGAGCUCCUGCUGCAUGGUGGGGGUUGGAAAGUUUCGGCGGUUGGGGAUGGACUCGCGGCUUAUCAGCUUGUUGGUGGGGUAGCGGCUUACCAAGGCUUUGACGGGUAGCCGGCCUGAGAGGGUGACCGGCCACAUUGGGCCUGAGAUACGGCCCAGACUCCUACGGGAGGCAGCAGUGGGGAAUAUUGCACAAUGGGCGGAAGCCUGAUGCAGCAACGCCGCGUGCGGGAUGACGGCCUUCGGGUUGUAAACCGCUUUCGCCUGUGACGAAGCGUGAGUGACGGUAAUGGGUAAAGAAGCACCGGCUAACUACGUG